rnacentral:rRNA from 1 species
AGGACGAACGCUGGCGGCGUGCUUAACACAUGCAAGUCGAGCGAGGCCCUUUCCUUCGGGAAAGGUGCCCUAGCGGCGAACGGGUGAGUAACACGUGGGCAAUCUGCCCCUAGCACUGGGAUAACUCCGGGAAACCGGGGCUAAUACCGGAUACGACCUCUGAGGGCAUCCUCCGGAGGUGGAAAGGAUUCUGGCUAGGGAUGAGCCCGCGGCCUAUCAGCUAGUUGGUGGGGUAAUGGCCCACCAAGGCGACG